AACGAACGUUAGCGGCGACGCUUAACACAUGCAAGGUCGAACGAGAAAGGGCUUCGGCCCCGGUACAGUGGCGCACGGGUGAGUAACACGUAGGUAAACCUGCCCUUGAGUGGUGGAUAACAUUCCGAAAGGAGUGCUAAUACAGCAUAAGACCACGGUUCCAUCAAGGAACAGGGGUCAAAGCGGGCCUCUUCAUGAAAGCUCGCGCUUGGGGAUGGGCCUGCGGCGCAUCAGCUAGUUGGUAAGGUAAAGGCUUACCAAGGCUAUGACGGGUAGGGGACCUGAGAGGGUGGCCCCCCACAAUGGAACUGAAACACGGUCCAUACACCUACGGGUGGCAGCAGUAGGGAAUAUUAGUAAUGGGCGAAAGCCUGAACUAGCAACGCCGCGCGUGCGAAGAAGGCCUUCGGGUUGUAAAGCACUUUUUGAGAGGAUGAGGAAGGACGGUACUCUCAGAAUAAGUCUCGGCUAACUACGUG
rnacentral:rRNA from 1 species